AUUGAACGCUGGCGGCAUGCCUUACACAUGCAAGUCGAACGGCAGCACGGGAGCAAUCCUGGUGGCGAGUGGCGAACGGGUGAGUAAUAUAUCGGAACGUGCCCGGUCGUGGGGAUAACGUAGCGAAAGCUACGCUAAUACCGCAUACGAUCUACGGAUGAAAGCGGGGGGAUCGCAAGACCUCGCGCGAUUGGAGCGGCCGAUAUCAGAUUAGGUAGUUGGUGAGGUAAAGGCUCACCAAGCCGACGAUCUGUAGCUGGUCUGAGAGGACGACCAGCCACACUGGGACUGAGACACGGCCCAGACUCCUACGGGAGGCAGCAGUGGGGAAUUUUGGACAAUGGGCGCAAGCCUGAUCCAGCAAUGCCGCGUGCAGGGAUGAAGGCCUUCGG
rnacentral:rRNA from 1 species